rnacentral:rRNA from 1 species
UGGGGAAUAUUGGGCAAUGGGCGAAAGCCUGACCCAGCGACGCCGCGUGGGCGAUGAAGGCCUUCGGGUUGUAAAGCCCUGUCAUGCGGAAAGAACGACCCUGAGACGCAUACUCUCAGGGAGUGACGGUACCGCAGGAGGAAGCACCGGCUCACUCCGUGCCAGCAGCCGCGGUAAUACGGAGGGUGCAAGCGUUGUUCGGAAUUAUUGGGCGGAAAGGGCGCGUAGGCGGUAAUGUAAGUCAGAUGUGAAAUACUCCGGCUCAACCAGGGAACAGCAUCUGAAACUGCAUAACUAGAGUACAGAAGAGGGAAACGGAAUUCCCGGUGUAGAGGUGAAAUUCGUAGAUAUCGGGAGGAACACCAGUGGCGAAGGCGGUUUCCUGGUCUGAUACUGACGCUGAGGCGCGAAAGCGUGGGGAGCAAACA